GUUAACCGGUCCCUCCUUCGGGCAGAAGAGACAGGUGGUGCAUGGUUGUCGUCAGCUCGUGUCGUGAGAUGUUGGGUUAAGUCCCGCAACGAGCGCAACCCUUGUCAUUAGUUGCCAUCAUUUAGUUGGGCACUCUAAUGAGACUGCCGGGGAUAACUCGGAGGAAGGUGGGGAUGACGUCAAAUCAUCAUGCCCCUUAUGUCCUGGGCUACACACGUGCUACAAUGGCUGGUACAAAGAGACGCAAGACCGCGAGGUGGAGCAAAUCUUCAAAACCAGUCCCAGUUCGGAUUGUAGGCUGAAACUCGCCUGCAUGAAGUCGGAGUUGCUAGUAAUCGUGAAUCAGAAUGUCACGGUGAAUGCGUUCCCGGGUCUUGUACACACCGCCCGUCACACCAUGGAAGCUGGGGGCGCCCAAAGUUGGUCGAGAAAUAGAUUACCUAAGGCGAAAUCAGUGACUAGGGU
rnacentral:rRNA from 1 species